GAUUCUGUGGGCGGAGCUUCAUGAACCUUUAUGAUGUUAACAUAUACAGAAAGAAUAUUUUCAUUCAGAUAAAACCAUUCAUCAUGUUUACUGUUAUAUUCAUGUGUUUGUGGCUUUCACUAGGUGACUCCAUGGCAGAUUCAAUAGAGCCACUUUUCACUCAUAAAGUUAUAGAUGAAGUGGAGAUCUAAGUCCCGACCCUCCCCCAAGAAUGACUGCUAAACUUCAUGAAGGUGAAAAUAAACAAGUGGAUCUGAUCAUCUCCUCUGCUGUUGUAUCAGACUCUGCUCUAUACUACUGUGCUUUGAGGCC